rnacentral:lncRNA from 1 species
AAUCUUAAGUAAAAAUUAAAAGUUUAAGUUUUAACAAAUUGAAAAUAAAAAUAAAGUUACCAAUUAAGUAAAAAGUAAAAAGUAAAAAGUAAAAGUAAAAAUUAAAAGUUAAAUUUCAAAUUUUACAUAUAGAAGUUACGAGUUAUUGUAAAAAUAAAAGAGAAAACAAAAACUAAGAGGGAUGAAGAGAAGGCACCUUGAUAACGACCAAGAAUUUAGGGCAGCAACUCUCUUCUACUCCAAAAUUCGCCAACCAUUUGUAUCAGCUUCAAUUCUGAUGAAUUUUGCUUGGUUGAAAACCUAACUUGAAAACGCUCCUGCUCCAAGAAACUGUGUGGCAAUCCAAUACCUGAGGCAUGCUCAAUGCUCCUUCAAAGUUGAAUAACCGAGACUGCCACGGCAGCUUACCACCAUUCACUCCAAAAUGCACCAAAAAUUUGGAUCUACUUCAAACGUAAUCAAACUUGUGCCAUUGGAAGCUAAACUUGUAUGUGCUCUUAUUCUUAAAAUUUCAGAAUGUUUUAAGUAAACGGCACUGAGAAAUGUCUUUUCAAAGACUGGUGAUCCAAACUGCCAAGGCAGCCGACCCCCCUGCACUCAAAAAUUCACAAAAAAAUUGUUUUAGCUCCAAAUUGAGCAAGCCUAAACUCAUUGGGAAGCUGAAAAUAAGAGGUAUUUUCUCAAAAAAAUUCACUGAAAAAAGUAAAAGGAUCAAAAAAUGAUUGGGAAAAAUCCGAGGCCCUUCAAACCCACUUAACUAUAGAAGUAUUUGGAAACCACUAAUUCUAAGGGAGUGCCUUCUAAACCACAAUAAGU